rnacentral:rRNA from 1 species
UCGGGAAUUUUGGGCAAUGGGCGAAAGCCUGACCCAGCAACGCCGCGUGAAGGAUGAAGUAUUUCGGUAUGUAAACUUCGUAAGAAUAGGAAGAAUAAAUGACGGUACUAUUUGUAAGGUCCGGCUAACUACGUGCCAGCAGCCGCGGUAAUACGUAGGGACCAAGCGUUGUUCGGAUUUACUGGGCGUAAAGGGCGCGUAGGCGGUGUGUCAAGUCAGUUGUGAAAUCUCCGAGCUUAACUCGGAACGGUCAACUGAUACUGUCACACUAGAGUACAGAAGGGGCAAUCGGAAUUCUUGGUGUAGCGGUGAAAUGCGUAGAUAUCAAGAGGAACACCUGAGGUGAAGACGGGUUGCUGGGCUGACACUGACGCUGAGGCGCGAAAGCCAGGGGAGCAAACGGGGAUUAGAUACCCUCGUAGUCCCUGAGCGGGCUGGCAAGGCGCAU